rnacentral:rRNA from 1 species
CCUACGGGAGGCAGCAGUGAGGAAUAUUGGUCAAUGGGCGCAAGCCUGAACCAGCCAUGCCGCGUGCAGGAAGAAUGCCCUACGGGUUGUAAACUGCUUUUAUUUGGGAAUAAACCUUUCUACGUGUAGAAAGCUGAAGGUACCAAUUGAAUAAGCACCGGCUAACUCCGUGCCAGCAGCCGCGGUAAUACGGAGGGUGCAAGCGUUAUCCGGAAUCAUUGGGUUUAAAGGGUCCGCAGGCGGACCUAUAAGUCAGUGGUGAAAGCCUACAGCUUAACUGUAGAACUGCCAUUGAAACUGUAGGUCUUGAAUUCGGUCGAAGUGGGCGGAAUGUGUAGUGUAGCGGUGAAAUGCAUAGAUAUUACACAGAACACCGAUAGCGAAGGCAGCUCACUAGGCCUGGAUUGACGCUCAGGGACGAAAGCGUGGGGAUCAAACAGGAUUAGAUACCCUGGUAGUCCACGCCGUAAACUAUGAUUACUCGUUUUCGGCGAUAUACAGUCGGAGACUAAGCGAAAGUGAUAAGUAAUCCACCUGGGGAGUACGAUCGCAAGGUCGAAACGUUAAAGAGUAGUGACGUGUGAGAGUGACGAGGACACACGGAGGGUUAGAGG